rnacentral:rRNA from 1 species
ACGCGUCUCCGUUAAUGAUUUUAGGUGCUUGCACUUGAAAGAUUUAACAUUGAGACGAGUGGCGAACUGGUGAGUAACACGUGGGUAACCUGCCCUUGAAGUAGGGGAUAACACUUGGAAACAGGUGCUAAUACCGUAUAACAACCAAAACCACCUGGUUUUGGUUUAAAAGACGGCUUCGGCUGUCACUUUAGGAUGGACCCGCGGCGCAUUAGCUUGUUGGUAAGGUAACGGCUUACCAAGGCGAUGAUACGUAGCCGACCUGAGAGGGCAAUCGGCCACAUUGGGACUGAGACACGGCCCAAACUCCUACGGGAGGCAGCAGUAGGGAAUCUUCCACAAUGGACGAAAGUCUGAUGGAGCAACGCCGCGUGAGUGAUGAAGGGUUUCGGCUCGUAAAACUCUGUUGUUGGAGAAGAACAGGUGUGAGAGUAACUGUUCACAUCUUGACGGUAUCCAACCAGAAAGCCACGGCUAACUACGUGCCAGCAGCCGCGGUAAUACGUAGGUGGCAAGCGUUGUCCGGAUUUAUUGGGCGUAAAGCGAGCGCAGGCGGUUUCUUAGGUCUGAUGUGAAAGCCUUCGGCUUAACCGGAGAAGUGCAUCGGAAACCAGGAGACUUGAGUGCAGAAGAGGACAGUGGAACUCUAUGUGUAGCGGUGAAAUGCGUAGAUAUAUGGAAGAACACCAGUGGCGAAGGCGGCUGUCUGGUCUGUAACUGACGCUGAGGCUCGAAAGCAUGGGUAGCGAACAGGAUUAGAUACCCUGGUAGUCCAUGCCGUANACGAUGAGUGCUAAGUGUCGGAGGGUUUCCGCCCUUCAGUGCUGCAGCUAACGCAUUAAGC